CUGCGUAGUGGGGAGAGGGGAGACGCUGACUCGGUGAAGCUGUUGGGAAGACAAGGUCUGGGCAGUGUGGCCUGGGAGAUCAAACACGGAAGGGAUUAAGGGGAGGACCUUUUGGCUGGAACCACCAGUGGGCCCAGGUGUUACAAAUUCACCCCAGGUCAGCUGUCAUUAAUUCUAGGAGCCCCUCCCCGAGGCUCUGUUGCUGGGCUCUUCACCUCAAACCCCUCCAUCCUCUAGCCAGGCUUGGAGCAGGUGGCCCUGUCACCAUAUCCCAUGUGGAAGAGGAAGUGUGGGGCUGCAGGACUCUACUUAAAGUGCCCUGGGUUUUAAGGAAGGAGCCAGUGAGGCUCUCUGCCUCAGGUCAGUAGAAGGAAGGCAGCCUCCGUCUCUGAACGACAAACAGCUGUUCUCUGGCGCUUAGUUCUGGCUUGCUCUUCUGACUGGAUGCCGGCCAGGGUUUGGAGAACUACAACUAAAGCUUUAGGCUUCGGAAGGCAGUGAGCGGGCUCCUCCCAGCCUUCCCUGUCAACCUAGGUUCUGAGGAGCUGGAGGGUAUGAAGAGAGUCUCCAGGAAAGUCAAAUGCAGCGUGGCCAGCGAAGCCAACCCUCACAGGUGAAAAGUUCUGACUGAAGAAAGGAGGAGGCUGAACGACCGCUCAGGCUGCUGGAAACAGGACUUCCUGGCAUGAGGAGGCCAGCCAAGAAAAUGCUUUGGACUUCGGAUGUAAAAGAUGAUGUCACGCGUUUCACCUAGACCAGACUGGCCUGGAAUUGAGGCUGGCCUUGAACUCCUGUCCCUCCUGCUUCCACCUCCCUGGCACUGGGAUUACAGGCACACGCCACCACUCUCAGUUCUGAGGAAAACAUUCUCUGAUUCGACCGAGCACGCCUGCUCCUGUUUCUUUCCUCAUCGUCCCACAGUCGUCUUCGGCAACUCCCAGAAGCUCCAAGCCUGUUCCUUACUGCUACAUAAAAGUCAGGCACCAGGCCUUUGAAUGUGAGUUUGCUGGAACACUCCCAUUCAUAAGAAUGAGGUAAAACGGCAUUUCUUCUGUUGGUCUCAUACUGAGUUUGUUUCAUGAACUCAAUGAACAAAGGGGGUGAAAGGAAGUUUUUCUCUCCCCUACAUCUUGGGUUAGUAAAUAUUUCUCCCCACCUAGACACUGUACUGUAGGCAGUUACAAAAGCAGCAACCAUUCAUGAACCUUCUAACACAAGCACUUAAGGAGAUAGAUUAAAAACAGGGUCCUUCUAGGGCCUUGGGCUUUGGUCCUGGAAUGCAUGUUGAUUUUGCAUGUGAUGCCCACUCCGCCAUUCUGCUAACAUUACUACCUUCUGUUGGGGGUAAGGCAAGCUCCAAAGAGCCACCAACUUGGCCUGCAUUCAUGGUGGUGGGGCUCCCCAAGCCUGGUGGCUCCUCCCUGCAGACCUGCACAGGUCUCAGGUGGCAAGAGAU